rnacentral:rRNA from 1 species
AGAGCGAACGCUGGUGGCAUGCUUAACACAUGCAAGUCGCACGGCAUGGGGGCGACCCUGUGCAGUGGCGGACGGGUGAGGAACGCGUAGGAAUCUGUCCUGUGGUGGGGGAUAACUGUGGGAAACUGCAGCUAAUACCGCAUGAAGCCUGAGGGCUAAAGGCGCUGACGCGAGUUGGUGUCGCCGUGGGGGGAGCCUGCGUCCGAUUAGCUAGUUGGUGGGGUAAAGGCUUACCAAGGCGUCGAUCGGUAGCUGGUCUGAGAGGAUGAUCAGCCACACUGGGACUGAGACACGGCCCAGACUCCUACGGGAGGCAGCAGUGGGGAAUAUUGGACAAUGGGCGCAAGCCUGAUCCAGCAAUGCCGCGUGGAUGAAGAAGGUCUUCGGAUUGUAAAGUCCUUUCGGCGGGACGAUGAUGACGGUACCCGCAGAAGACGCCCCGGCUAACUUCGUGCCAGCAGCCGC